UCAGUUUUGUAGUUGGGAUAGGCUUUUCAACGGAAAGCCCAUUCACUCAAUUUGAGUGAAUGGGCAUUCACUCGGGGGGUGGUGGAAUCGCAUUUCCAUUCAGCCUAUUUUUUCAUUUUCUCCGUAUUGUCCUCGAGUCUCAAUCGAGAAGAGACAAACCCUAGAGCUCCCAUCGCCGUCGCGACCACCCAAGCUCCGAUCACUGUCGCGACCACCCGAGCUCCCAUCGCCGUCGCGACCCGAGCCGUUCUUCCGCCGAUCGAUUCUCGUCUUCUCCCUUCCUUUUCGACCUUCCUCCACUCGGUUUGGCUCGUUCGUUUUCGUUUCAAUCUCGUCAUCGGAUUUCGGUUUCCUUAGAUCCGGUUGUAGCUUCACCAGCGCCUCUAUUUCCAGCAAGGUCAGGUCGCAGUUGAUUUCGGCAAGUCUUGGUCGCAGUUGAUUCCGGCAAGGUCAAGUCGCGGUUGAUUCCGGCAAGGUCAGGUCGUGGUUGAUUCCGGCAAGGUCAGGCUCCAUUCUUUGAUCUCGGUUGAAUUUUUUUUUCAUUUUUUUGAGUGUUUUUUGUAUGGAUCUGUUUCUUGGAUUUAUUGCUUUGCUCAUUGAAAAUCCGUGUGAUGAUUUUGAGGAUUUGAAGUUCGAAACUUAUUUCAUUCGAACAAGUGUAGAAUGCUGAGGGCCGUGAGAAUUUUUGUGUACCCAUUUGUGAUUUUGGCUGUGAUUCUGUCAUUUGUGAUUUUAGCUGUGAUUCUGUCAUUUGUGAUUUUUGCUGUGAAACUGUCAUUUCUGAUUUUGGCCGUGAUUCUAUCAUUUGUGAUUUUGGCUGUGAUUCUUGUCCACGAGUAAUCACUUGGUAAAUAUAAGAAUCAAGUCAUAAGAAAAGCAACACUUUGGAACAAGCAUGUAGCAGCAUAAUACCAUGUGAAACACAAAACAAAUUAUAGCAUAAUACCAUGUAACAGAGGAUUUAUGGGGUACCCUGCUGAAGAUUUCCUCAGCAAAUGCACGUGUUGCACUUAAUGAGGAUACUCCAAACUCCUCGAGCUUACUCACUACUUCAGCUGGUGAUGUUGCUUGUUUAGCUACAAUAGAACCAAAAUCAUCAUAUUUGUUAGUUAAAAUACAUAGUACAUAAAAUUAAAUUAAAAAAAACAAUUUGCAGUGUGAGGUUAGACCAGCUUACAUAGCCCGAUGACAUACAGAACAAGCGUGGAUUAAGAAUAUCCUAAGAGUGACAUUAGCUUAUCUGAAACCCAUUUUUUUAGAUUUCCAUCACUUGCCAUAUUCACUGCCAAAAAAAAAGUUUAGGUUAUUCCAUUUGUAUACUUUCUUAACUUUGGAAACAGUGUCAACCUCCGCUGAAGUGUGUCAUCCUUUUGGCUAGUGCAUACUAAUUUGGUUCUUUCAUGGUUUAACUAGUGCAUACUUUUAUGCUCAGUUUUUUAGACAACGGAGUUGAAAUGUACUAAUUUGGUUGUUUUAUUGUAGGAUAAUGGCUCGUUUAGGAUUAGUCAAAAGUGAAAGUUUGAGAAAGACGAAGAUAGUUGCUUUGCUUUUACAUUGGUUGAAUAUUAUGCAUGUAGUGCAAUGGUUCUUUCAAUUGAUGGAAUAGUGGUGAUGGAGGAUAUAGAAUCAAACUUUGUACAGAGACAACUUUAUGUGCUUGACGUGUUUGUUCAUAGGCAAUAUGUUUAUCAACUAGCUUACGCUAGGCAAUAUGUUUAUCAACUAGCUUACGUAAGUGAUGUCAUAUGCAGAGAUCAAUUAAGGAUGAAUAGAAAUGCCUUCACUAAUUUGUGCACAUUGCUAGAAACUAGGGGUGGGUUGAAAGUGUCUAAGUAUUUGCAAGUAGAUGAGCAAGUGGCUAUGUUUUUACAUACCAUUGCUCACCAUGAGAAAAAUAGAGUUAUAAAAUUCCAUUUUAUGAGAUCUGGACAAACGGUUAGUAAGUACUUUCACAAUGUCUUGCAUUCAAUCAUUCGACUUCAUGGAGUGUUAUUCGUUAGACCCGAGCCGGUUGCAGAUACUCAACUGAUGAGAGGUGGAAAUGGUUUAAGAAUUGCCUAGGUGCACUAGAUGGAACCUAUAUUAGGGUGAAAGUGCCUAUGGCAGAGAGACCCAAAUAUCGUAAUCGACAUGGAGCUGUAGCAACAAACGUCUUAGGAGUAUGCACACGAGAUAUGAAAUUUAUAUAUGUGUUGCCUGGAUGGGAAGGAUCUGCAGCUGAUGGUAAAGUAUUACGCGAUGCUCUACGUAGGGCAAAUGGUUUACGUGUUCCAAAUGGAUGUUACUAUCUUGUUGAUGCUGGAUACACCAAUUGUAAAGGAUUUCUUGCUCCAUUUCAUGGCCAACCGUACCAUCUAAAGGAAUGGGAAGAUAGACCAUAACCUAGGAAUCACAUGAGUAUUUUAAUAUGAAACAUUCACAUGCUAGGAAUGUGAUUGAGAGAUGUUUUGGUGUACUUAAGAGUCGUUGGGCGAUUCUUCGUAGUCCAUCGUUCUUGCCAAUUAAAACUCAAAAUCGCAUUAUCUUGGCAUGUUGUUUGUUACAUAAUUUUAUUAGGCGCAAAAUGCCUAAUGACGUUCUAGAUCCAAUACCAGAAGAUGAGUGUGAGAAUAACGAAGAAGAUGAUGAAGAAGUGAUGAUUUGAUAACGACCGUUGAGCCUUCAGAGGAAUGGACUGAGUGGAGGAAUACUAUAGCACAAGAUAUGUUUAAUGAUUGGAGGCAUCGUAGGAAUGCAUGACAAUUGUAUUUGUGUUUUUCCUUGGGAGUUGUAACAUGACUUGUGUUGUUUGCUUGUAUUAGGACAAACUUAUGUUGCUUUGUUAUGUUUUUUCCUCGAAUAAUAUGUGUCGCUUUGUUAUGUUUUUAUUUCUAGUAUUUGCAAGUUACUAAUUAUAUAUCAUGGAGGAUGUUGAUUCU